rfam:Lactobacillus animalis strain 381-IL-28 NODE_2_length_26099_cov_30.634468, whole genome shotgun sequence.
GUAGGGGUAGGAAUUUAUGCGUUACGGGCUCAUGGAACGGAAUGUGAACGUGAGCAGAAAGCCAAACCGUCAUUUUGGCUGCGUGUAUCUUCCGCAUUCACCAAU